GACGAACGCUGGCGGCGUGCUUAACACAUGCAAGUCGAACGGAAAGGCCCUGCUUUUGUGGGGUGCUCGAGUGGCGAACGGGUGAGUAACACGUGAGUAACCUGCCCUUGACUUUGGGAUAACUUCAGGAAACUGGGGCUAAUACCGGAUAGGAGCUCCUGCUGCAUGGUGGGGGUUGGAAAGUUUCGGCGGUUUGGGAUGGACUCGCGGGUUAUCAGCUUGUUGGUGGGGUAGUGGCUUACCAAGUCUUUGACGGGUAGGCGGCCUGGGAGGGUGACCGGCGACAUUGGGACUGAGAGACGGCCCAGACGCCUACGGGAGGCAGCAGUGGGGAAUAUGGCACAAUGGGCGGAAGCCUGAUACAGCAACGCCGCGUGCGGGAUGACGGCCUUCGGGGUGUAAACCGCUUUCGCCUGUGACGAAGCGUGAGUGACGGUAAUGGGUAAAGAAGCACCGGCUAACUACGUG
rnacentral:rRNA from 1 species